UGCCUUUUCAAUUUUGUCCAUAUCCGGUGAUGCAUAGUGAAGUUAAUAUCAGAGGGCAUUUCAGUCUUUAUAAUUAAAUAACGCAUAUAUGAGUUAUGGCUUCUUUAUCUACGAUCAAAAUAUUAUCGAAUAUAUAUAUUAAAAAUGCUAAUGCAUACAGAGAAAUUGGCUGCGCAAUAAGAAAAGUUAUAAGGGAAAAAAAGGUUCCAAAAGCAACUUAACAUGAAUAAAGUUGGAGGAAGCCCAGUCGCCAGGGCAGAGCAAGCAUUGAGAAACGAUUCUCCAUUUUGGGUUUGGAAGCAAUAAUAAUAAUAAUAAUAAUGAGUUAUUGAAACCCAAGCCUAAUAAAUGAAGGUUUGGCAGGACAGCUUCCUGACCACAAGUGACAACUCCACAAUGCUAAAGACGGUUGCUUAAGGGCACAGAUUUAUUUUUUUCAUAGGCUGGCUGUUGAAUCGGGGCAUUGAUGAUUGAUCUAUCUUAUCAAAAAAUUUGCAGGCAUAUCAGCUGGGCUACCCAUCAACAAACAGAUCAAACAAUGAGCACAAAGUUUUCUUUUCCAUUUCCUCAUCAUCUCUCUGCUAUUUCUCGCUUUCUGCAAUCCGGAGAUGACAAGGCCAGUACAGUGUAUGGUGUAUCGCAUAAACUUGUUCCAGGCGGACCAAAUCCACUUCACAAUUGAUGGAAUUUUCCAUUUAACCAUCUCGUUUCGGCGGGAAGAAUCCACAGGUUUCUUUUAUAGCUACGUAUAGAAAAGAAAGAAAGAAAGAAAAAAUUCCACAGUUGUCUUUUGUAGUUGGUUCUUGAAAAGAAUGAUAAGGGAAGGAAAACGAGAGAAAGAUGCUCAAAAAAUGGCCUCCUUCCAUAGGACUUGUUCAAUGUACUUCUCAGUUCUUUCCUUCAUUCUUUCCACGAACCAACUUGUUCGGAUUUGUAGAAUUCUAUUUGCGUUACCAUUGUAAAGAGCAUCAAUUUAUUUACUAUUUAAACUAAAAUCUUGAG